UGCACAGAUCACUGUGUUGGCUAUGAGUGAUGAAGAUGAGUUCAACGUGGGAAGUGCCAUGCACUGUGAUGUACAAGUCAUGGACAUGGCAAUGCAUGCAUAGAGCAAAAGAACGGCGGUCGAGCAAGAUGAACCACUUCUGGAUUCGUGCUGCCUCCAUGAUAUGAUUCACGUCUCAUGAUUGAUCAGCCUUUUUUCGAGCUGAGGGAGACUGCUUGUUUCGAGCUUCUGCGAUUAGAAUCUGAGCGCAGAGAGGAAGAGAAAGGAGUUCGAUGAGGAGGAACAACACAUGGGAGAAGCUGAGGAAGAUGUGGGAAUGAGAGAAGCUCCAUGGAGGGAGCAAUAACCGCACACUCCUUGGGGUCUGCAGAAAACCUAAGCCUUCCUCAGGAGCAAGUGAUUGUGAUGAGUGCCAAUAUGGGAUGCAGUCACUGCAGGCAGAGGGUCUCCAAGGUGGUCUCCAAAAUGAACACAGGCUUGGUGGAUUACAUGGUGGAUUUGCAAAAGAAAGAGAUCACAAUGAGGGGGGUUGUAGAGACCAAGAAGAGGAAGGUGCAUCCUAAUCACACAAGGAAGAAGAAGACACUAAGAAGCUUCUUGGGCUUCUUUAGACAGAAAUGUUGUUAUUGCUAGUUUCAUUAGUUGUGGAGUAACUCUUCCCACCAAAUUAGGAUUCAUGUUGACACCCAUUGUGAGUGUUGAUGUGAUUAGCUGAAAAAAUAUUUGUAGACCUUGUAACUAGUAGUAUUUGAUUUAUUAUUAAAUCAAAAUUAUAAU